CUAUUUGCCUACCGAGGUUCUUACGGGUGACGGGGAAUCAGGGUUCGAUUCCGGAGAGGGAGCCUGAGAAACGGCUACCACAUCCAAGGAAGGCAGCAGGCGCGCAAAUUACCCAUUCCCGACGCGGGGAGGUAGUGACGAAAAAUAACAAUGCAGGACUCGUUCGAGGCCCUGUAAUUGGAAUGAGUACACUUUAAAAGCUUUAACGAGUAUCCAUUGGAGGGCAAGUCUGGUGCCAGCAGCCGCGGUAAUUCCAGCUCCAAAAGUAUAUAUUUAAGUUGUUGCGGUUAAAAAGCUCGUAGUUGGAUUUUGGGCGCAGGCGGCCGGUCCGUCGCAAGGCGUGUACUGGACGUCCUGGCCUUCCCUCCGGUUCUCCGCCGGUGCUCUUGACUGAGUGUCGGCGGCGGCCGGAACGUUUACUUUGAAAAAAUUAGAGUGUUCAAAGCAGGCUCUCGAGCCUGGAUAAUGGUGCAUGGAAUAAUGGAUUAGGACCUCGGUUCUAUUUUGUUGGUUUUCGGAGCGCGAGGUAAUGAUUAAGAGGGACAGACGGGGGCAUUCGUACUGUGCCGUUAGAGGUGAAAUUCUUGGAUCGGCGCAAGACGAACGACUGCGAAAGCAUUUGCCAAGAAUGUUUUCUUUAAUCAAGAGCGAAAGUCAGAGGUUCGAAGACGAUCAGAUACCGUCCUAGUUCUGACUAUAAACGA
rnacentral:ncRNA from 1 species